rnacentral:rRNA from 1 species
GGAUUAGAUACCCUGGUAGUCCACGCCGUAAACGAUGAGUGCUAGUUGUUGGAGGAUUAUACCCCUUCAGUGACGCAGUUAACGCAUUAAGCACUCCGCCUGGGGAGUACGGCCGCAAGGCUAAAACUCAAAGGAAUUGACGGGGGCCCGCACAAGCAGUGGAGUAUGUGGUUUAAUUCGACGCAACGCGCAGAACCUUACCCGGUCUUGACAUUGUUGGGAAUUCUGUAGAAAUACAGAAGUGCCUCCGCAAGGAGGAGCCCUUUAACAGGUGCUGCAUGGCUGUCGUCAGCUCGUGCCG